rnacentral:lncRNA from 1 species
GGCUGGAGAGUCAUUGGCACUAUCAAGAAAUAUUAAAGUGUAGAUUUGAGAGAGGAGGAGAAAGACCCAAGCAAAAUUGAAAACCAGGUGGGACCCAGACAGCAGCAAAGCAAUGGAAGCAUGUAUUUUGGUCAAUAUAGAGUUAAUACACAAUUUUGCCCCUCUUCUUCUGAUCAUGGGACUCAUAUUCCAGUCUUUACAUUUCCUUUAAAUUCGGGAAUCAGGAAGAAUUUCCAGAGUUUGCAGAUGGACACAUUUGCUGCUUCCAUUCUAAACAUAAGUUAUAAGAACUUUUCAACUGGAUUCCAAAUUUAAUAUGUCACAAACAUAAAAAAGAAAGCUAUUUCCUGGACUUUUCUUCAUUAGAAAUUAAUAGAUUGAUUUGGACACUCCAGGACUCUCAUUACCUUCCCCAAAUAUUUGGACAUAUGUG